rnacentral:lncRNA from 1 species
ACUCACUCCUUACAUCAUGGCUGCACUGAUGAGACCUCCAGUGGCCUGAGAGAUACCAAGCCGUGUCCCCUCACACAGGUGCCACUCACAGGACAGAGGAGUCUGGAUGUGAUGGGGGAGAGACAGAAACCAGCACUCGGUAUCUUCGCUGAGAAGUGGAGAGCAGUAUCUGGCUCCGAGUGUUGAACGGCUCAUUGCCUCUGCUGUUCCUGUCUUCCUUCAUGUUAAGAAAACAGAAGAUGCAGUCAAACUUUGAGUUAAUGGGUCUGCUCCAUUCAUUAUUUACCCAGGGUGGUGCUUUAUCACAGAGGCUCCUAAGUGUUUGACAAAGAAGGCAUCUCAUUAGCGCCUGGGAGGUUAUGGGUUGGCCAGAUGGUGGCUGUUUUCUUCUUUUCCUGGAGAGAGGCACAAGUGUCUCAGACUGUGUGGCAGCGGUUUCAGUUCUGAGGAUCCUAGCAAGCAAGUCACGUGCCUUCCUUCCUGAGUCCUGCCUUACACUUUGGUAAACGUAAAAAGCAAACACUUUCCAGUCUCUUGCUGGCAUGUAGGUGCUGCAGAGAUGGUGUUUAUGUGCGACAGAGUCCUACAGAAACAAGGGAAGAGUAGCUCCCAGGUGCAGCUAGUAUCCUUGACCUAGUAGCUAUUCUCAGCCCUGGGCAUACUGACAAAGGAGGUGGGGAGGGGUGACUCAUCACCUUUGAUUCUUAGCUAGUGGCAUAUGUAUGUAUGUAUGUAUGUAUGUAUGUAUGUAUGUAUAUAUGUAUAUAUGUAUGUAUAUAUGUAUGCAUGUAUAUGUGUACAUAUAUAUAUAUACACACAUACAUAUAUAUGUUAUUCAGU